rnacentral:rRNA from 1 species
ACCAUCCCAGGUCAGGCGAGAUUACCCACUAAGUUUAAGCAUAUCAAUAAGUGGUGGAAAAAAAACUUACCAGGAUUCCCCUAGUAAUGACAAGCAAACUAGGAAGAGCCUAGUUUGAGAAUUGGGCACCCUAGCAUCCGAAUUGUAGUUUAAAGAAGCAUAUUUAAUGGCAGACCAAGCAUAAGUCCCCUGGAAAAGGGCAUCAAAAAAGGUAAGAGCCUUAUUGUGCAUGGACCCUAUCCCAUAAUAAGGUGCAAUCUAUGAGUCAGGUUGUUUGGGAAUGCAAUCCAAAUCGAGCAGUAAAUUCUAUCCAAGGCUAAAUACAGGUGAGUGACUGAUAGUAAAAUAGUACUACAAGGGAAAGAUGAAAAGGUAUUUGAAAAGAGAUUCAAAUAGUGCUUGAAAUUGUUAUGAGGGAAGUAAAUAGGGCCUGGCUAUGCACCUUGGUUAAACAUGGAAUGGCGAGAGCCAGUUUGUAGAUUGACUCGAAGCAUGGACUAAUGUGGGUCAUGGUGGAGGCCUAAGAUUGGGCUUUCGAUAUGCCUAUAAAGAUGUCGUUUUUGUAAUUGUGGAAUGCAACACAAGUCAUCUUAGUGUGCCUUGGCACUCGCAUGCUCCCGACAUUGGCCUAUAGGCUUCCCAUCCAGCCUAUCUUGAAACAUGAACCAAAGAGUCUGACAUAUGUGCAAGUCAAUAAGCUAGAAAACCCAUAAGGUGCAAAGAAGCUAAUUGGUGAGAUCCCUCAUGGGUGUACCAUUGAUUAACCUUGAUCUUUUGGAAAGGGUUCAAGUGUAAGCAUGCCGGUUGGGACCGAAAAGAUGGUGAACUAUGCUUGAGUAGGGUAAAGCUAGAAGAAACUUUGAUGGAGGCCUAUAGUGAUAUUAACAUGCAAAUCAUUCAUCUGACUUGGGUUUACGGGUGAAAGACUAAUCAAACCAUCUAGUAGCUAGUUCCCUCUUAAGUUUCCCUCAAGAUAGCAGAGCACUUAGCAAGUUUUAUUAGGUAAAGCCAAUGAUUAGAGGCAUCAAGGGUGCAAUGCCCUCAACCUACUCUCAAACUUUAAAUAUGUAGGAUGGUGCAGCUACUUCAUUGAGCCGUGCCAUAGAAUUGAGAGCUCUAAAUGGGCCAUUUUUGGUAAGCAAAACUGACAAUAAGGGAUGAACUGAAAGCUGAGUUAUGGUGCCCAACUAUGUGCUAACCUAGAACCUAUAAAGGGUAUUGGUCGAUUAAAAUAGUAGGAUAGGGGUCAUGAAAGUUAAAAUCCGAUGAGUGUGUAACAACUUACCUAUCAAAUCAACUAGCCUAAAAAAUGGAUGGCAUUUAAACAUGUGUUAGGGCAAGGGCAAAGGCCAGGCCUUAAUGAGUAGAAGGGCAUGGUGGUCACUGCAAAACUUAGGGCAUAAACCCCAUAAAGUAGCCUCGGUGCUGAUCUUGGUGGUAGUAGCAAAUAUUCAAAUAAGAACAUUGAAUGCUAAAAAAGGAAAAGGUUUCAUGUGAAUUGCACUUGCACAUGGGUUAGUCGAUCCUAAGAGAUGAGGGAAGCCCAUCCAAUAGUGUGUCCAAUGUGAGCUUUAAAAGGGAAUUGAGUUAAAAUUCCUGAACAAGGAUGCAUAGGCUAAUGACAAUAUUAGGUAGUCUAGAGGUGUUAAAGGGGGCCUUAGGAAAAGUUAUCUUUUCUAUUUAUGGCCUGCCCACCCUAGAAAUGGCUUAGCCAACGGUAGGGUCCAGCAAUCGAAAAAGCAUCACAUGUCACAUAGUGUUUGGUGUGCCCUCAGCGACCCUUGAAAAUUUGGAGGACUGAGUGCUCUCCAUGCCUGGUCAUAUUCAUAAUUGCAUCACUCUCCAAGGAGAACAGUCUCUAGUCAAUGGAACAAUGUAGGUAAGGGAAGUCGACAAAAUGGAUCCAUAACCUCAAGAAAAGGAUUGGCUUUAAGGGUUAGGCAUGGGGUCCUAGUCCUAAACUCAUCGGCUGUCAAUGCACUACUCGAACUGGUCUCGUGGCAACAGUGGGUUAUUGCGUGCCAAUCAAGGAUGGACUUGGAAAGGCUUCCUUGAGGGCUUUCCCCGAGUAAUGAAUAGUCGACUCAAAAUUGAUACGGAUAAAGGGAAUCUAACUAUUUAAUUAAAAUAAAGCAUUACAAUGGUCCCUACGAAUGCUCAUGCAAUGUGAUUUAUGCCCAGUGCUUUAAAGGUCAAAGUGAAAAACUCAACCAAGUGAGUGUAAACGACAGGACUAACUAUGACUCUCUUAUGGUAGCCAAAUGCCUCAUCAUCUAAUUAGUGAGCACAUGAAUGGAUUAACACAAUUCCCAUUGUCCCUAUCUACUAUCCAAUGAAACCACAAUCAAAGGAAUGGGCUUGACAGAAUCAGUAGGGAAAGAAAACCCUAUUCAGCUUGACUCUAGUCCAACCUAUGAAAUGAAUUGAGAGGUGUAGGAUAAGUGGAAGCCCUAAGUCAAAAUUGAAAUACCACAACUUUUAACAUUAUUUUACUUAUUUCAUGAAUUGGAGGCAAGGCAGAACCCUUUCUAUUUGGCCUAAGGCCAACCUUGAUCAGUCGAUUAGGGUAAAAGACAUUGUCAGGUGGGGAGUUUGGCUGGGGUAGCACAUCUGUUAAAAGAUAAUGCAUGUGUCCUAAUAUGAGCUCAACGAGAAUAGAAAUCUCUUAUAGAACAAAAGGAUAAAAGCUCAUUUGAUUUUGUUUUCUAGUACGAAUAAACUAUGAAAGCAUGGCCUAUUAAUCCUGUAGACCUUUAAAAUUUGAAGCUAGAGGUGUCAGAAAAGUUAACAGAAGGAUAACUAGCUUAUGGCAGACAAGUGUUCAUAGUGAUGUUGCUUUUUAAUCUUUCAAUGUUGGCUCUUCCUAUCAUUGUGAAGCAAAAUUCACCAAGUGUUGGAUUGUUCACCCUCCAAUAAAGAAUGUGAGCUAGGUUUACACCGUUAUGAGAUAGGUUAGUUUUACUAAAAUGGUAGCAUCACAAUAAUAAUUCAAACUAAUACGAAAGGAAUUGUUAUUCGUGCAUUUGGUUAUCCCAUUUGGUUGAAAAGCUAGUGGCAUAAAGCUACCAUGCACUUGAUUAUGACUGAAUGCCUUUACAUUAGAAUCUAGGUUAGAAGGGACACAAGCAUCUGUCACCCAACUGUCAACUAGUAGUAAGGGCCUAUGCCUUGAAGGGCACAUGUCAUAGGUGUAACACCCUUAGCAAACAAGCUAUACGGGCCUCCUUGGAGCU